rnacentral:tRNA from 1 species
UCAAUGAUAGUUUAAACAAAACACUUCACUGUUAAUGAAAAAUUAAAAUAUUUUCAUUGAA